rnacentral:tRNA from 1 species
GCACUGGUAGUUAUGUGGUAGAACUCUCGCUUUCCACGUGGGAAACCUGGGUUCGAUUCCUGGCUGAUGCA